GGCGGAACUUAACGGCCUGAACCGAAGGGCGGGCGGAGAUUGCCGAACCGGCGACGGAGCUUGCCGAAGGGUGAAGGGGCGGGGACUAGAAACCCGAAGCAGACAAUAGCAAGGCCUGUGACCAUCUGUGGAUUUUACAAGUUUCAUGGAAUGUUUUCAGACCGCGCUCUUAACCUCAGACACUCCUAUCAGAUUUCAUAGGAUUCAAGCCCCAGGGUGCUGUAGGCGCUAAACAGUUUAGGCUCUGGCACGUCUAAUUUUCAUCCUUUCGGAGAAGAAGCAAGAAGAGCAGCAGCCCAACAGGUGCACAGGACACCUCGGGAACAGCCAAAACAGGUCAGACCAAAGGUCCUCUGCAGGUCAGAUGAAAGGUCCUCUCCUCUGUCACCAUCUCCAGCGAAUAUGCAGAGAAACGGUGCAAGCGCCACUGCCCAGAUCCUUCUCCUUAUGCACCUCCACGGCUCGGCUGGCUGGAGCUCAAGCAGACGCCGUACACCAGGUCCUCUCCGGCUCUGAGACCCUUGCGAUGAAGGUAAAUAAACUCCUAAUAAAUUGCUUCUCUGAAGCAUCCCUGUGGGCUCAGUCCCCCCACACCGGUGAGCACAGGACAAGGCGCAAGAGGGGGCCAACCCCGGCCCUGUGCCUGGCCCGCAGGGACGUCCCCACCACAGCCAAGGCCCCAAGGAGCCCCGAGAGCUCCUGCAAACCAGACCAGGCCUGGGGUUGACGGCCUCAACACUGGGUUCCUCGUCUCCAGGGCAUUCGUGUCUCAUCGAGCGCAAGCCUCGACUGAGCGCUCGGCCAGGCCGAGACACGCCGAAAGGCUCGCUCCAGCACGGCGUCCCCGGUGACUAAUAGCGCGUGACAUCAGCCGGUCCCGCUGGCACGGCGCUGCUGUGGGCUCACUGCUGGCUUGCACCAAGCAAAGCAGCUGCUCCGUAAGCCCGACGUUCCUGGGAAAGCAGGGCUUUCUCAUUUUUGGCGGUAAGAAAUCGCUGCAACGCCAGCCAAGUGAGAGAAAACACAUCGAGAGCGUCAGAAAUGCACAGCGUUGGCCCCGAUCCCACCGCCCACGUAUGCGGACAAACGCUUCGAUUCAGGCCCAGCACGUGCACCCCCCCGUAAUCCUCUGCAGAGCCAGGUUUAAAAUGCAAACAUGCUGACAUUUCCUCAUACUUUUACCAGCAACAGUAAUUCUCUAGCAAAUGCCCAGGCUCGGGGGAGCGGCGUUGGCAUGCUGCGGAGCCGCACGCUUGGACUUUCAACAUGACAGCAGAGACUUGGUGAAAACCCAGGACAGCACCCACAGAGCACAAAGUCAGCAGCAAUCAAGGCACCCUGGAGGUAUUUUUUACCGUAUUUAUAUAGGAUCAUCUAAAGGUUUGUCAGGACCGUAGCAAAACACGAUCUCUGCAAGGAGCUCAUGCGAGGCCAUAGCGCGCAGCCAGGCGCAGAGCACUGCAAAGGAGUAGCAGCAUUUAGUGCCUGCUGCGGGCGAUUUGGAGGUUGUUUCAUAGGUUUCUGAUUAUUUCAUUACUUUCUCCUUGCCCUUGCUAAAUAACAGUGUUUGUCUACCCUGCAACCAAAUGUGUGACUCCUCACCCCAACUCGCAGGGACAGAGCUGGCACAGCCACCCGAGCGCCCCGCGCCCGUCACAAGCCUUUUUGUGGCCCCUUGGCAUCGCUGGAGGCAAUUCCUCGUUCUGCCGCAUUCGCACAAACGUGGAGGGGGGAACGCUCCACUCUCCUGGCCCCGGGACACGCUUCCACCACUUCGCCAGGUCCGUCAAACAAAAGCCAGCGCCGCCUCCCGCCAGGCUCCCGCGGCGAGCUGGAUGUGCACCCUGCCACACCGGCCGUUUGGCUGGCAAGCAAAUUAUUCCAGUGCGAAACCACAGGGCCUGGAUCAGGGCUUCAAGCUCCCCAGUGAGCCCCCUGCUUCCAAUUCAGGACUGCUGGAGGCACGGACUAGCUGAACCACGAGCCGCACGGAGGUGCUCACCACGGUCACCUCGGUGGCCAGCUGGAAGCCUUAUUCUCCAAAAUGCCAAAUUCCCACUGUUUGUAGGUGCUGCCAUUUCCCAGACCAGCAGUGACCGUACACGAGAGCCUGGGGACCCACCAAAGCCUCCCCACAGACUUAAUAAAGAAAAAUGCUGCCUAAGGACUGCAAAUAGUUUUCUCCUUCCUGAAGGAGAGCAGGGAAAUGCAAGAGAUGAAGGAAGCAACCAUGAACCUUCAAUGACAAUUCAUCCAACAGCCACAAAAACCCUUUUUGGGAUGCACUGCCUGUCCGAGUGGUGAAAUCAAAGCUGCCCCAAAAACUGAUGGUAGCGACACAGGGGCAGAGGCUCCCUCACAUCCAUAUUUUGGCCGUACACUAUUGAUUCAAGUUCAUGGGCAGGAGUAAAGGUGGAAAGAGCCUGUUCCUACAGGCAUAUUUCUCCUCAAAAAUGGAGCAGGAUGUCACCAGGACACCAGGGGAACAAAUCAAAGCAACUGGCUACAUACAGCUUUACCAGCUAAAAACAUCCAACUUCGCUACAGGGAUGAUGACGUUUCCAUGCCCCCCCCCCCAACCCAGCUCAUGAAGACUGGUUUGAAGGACUCAAAAACCUUUCGGAGGAAAGAAAAGAUCACCUCUAACACACACAAAUGCCGGGAAAACCCUGAGUCCAUCACGGAUAAUUCGUGAGCACUGAUCAGCUGGAGGUCGCUCGCAGACAGCGAGGUGGCCGGCCGGAGAAAAAUCCCCACGCGCUUCUCCAUUCCCUCUUGCUGUUUCCAAUUUUGAUUCCUGUGCAUUUGUUUAUAUAGCAAUGUGAGUGUACGUACCAUAAAAAAAAAGAAAUCUGCGUGCUGGAAAUAUCAUGACUAACAUAUGGGAAUCCGCAGUGUGUAAAAAUCUUGCCUCCCCUCCGACAUAACAUCGUUUUGCAGGUGCUUUGUACACUGGCACCUCGGAUUCAUCUGUUUUCUUGUAAGACUGAGCACAUUUAACAAAUGACAUUGUUUUUAAGUCUCAGCUAUAGAUUCGGAGCUGGAAAGCAAAGAAGCCACAGCCUCCCCCGGCCCCAUAACUAGGGGGUCAGCGGGCUCACGUGCCCCCUCGUCUGUCUUGGAGAACAUCACGGCCCAACAUAGGAUUUCACCUAGGGCUUUCCUUCCUACGUGCAGCCCCCCCUUCUUUUUUUUAACUAAAACCUUGCUUUCCCCAGCAGCCCUGGUCUUUACCAUCCACUUGGACUGUGACGGACCACAGCUCCUCGACGGUCCCGUGCCUCGACCCUGCCAUGCCCGUAAAUAAACGGCGCCCGUCCUGCGUCCCUGGGACCGCAUGGGCUGCAAGGAGAAAGCUCCUGCUCCGCAUUUCCAUGCCCGCACCGGGAGCAUCUGCAUCACCGCAUAAAUGACAUGUAUCCACAUCUCCAGCCCAGGAGCAGGGAGCUCUCAGGUCCUGCGUUGCCAGCUCGGCUCCGGUGGGAGAGACGCGUGGCAGCGCACGGCGGGAGCAGACCGCAGCCCCGGGCCCGGCCGGAUCUGCAGCACCGCAAACGCAUGAGGGGAUGUCUCAGGGCUUUUUUUUUUUCCUGCAUACCCAGGGACAAAAAUAACCCCGGCUUCCUUCUUUUACAGCAUCCUUCUGAGCCGAGCGGCACCAAAUGUGACACCCGCACACAGCUCUGGGCAGCACGCGCAGCCCGGAGCGACGGGCUCGGCAGCCAGCAGACUUCCCACCGCAGCAGCGCCUCUGCUCCAAGCCCGGAGCUGCUCCCGCAGGAACGGGCUGCGGGAGUACCCCCGAGCCUCCCUCCCCGCACCAGCCAAGCCGGGGGGCAAAGGAGAAACACCGAAAUGAAGAGCACACGAAGGACAGAGAAAGAGCAGCUUCCUUAACCGCAGGCAAGCAGCGAGUCUUGCAGAAAGCAGCAGAAGUUUUUUGCUCAGCUACGGAGACAAGUUUGAAGGUGGAGGUUGCACAAGGAAGCAUUUGCAGCUGCAGGGAGCCCGAACUGCCCAGAGCAGGGUGGAAAACAAAGAAACCCAACCCCAACACGAGAAAAUCCAAGUUUAUUUGCUUUAGCCCCGCUUCCCUCCCUGGCACAGAAAUGUCUUUAACGCUGCUCUAUCUAGGGGCUUUAAUGCAAAACCAUGACUUUAAGCAACAAGCCAACCCCAAACACAGUUCCAGGUAGGAAGCAGUGAGCUGCAGAGUCACAAGCAUCUCCAAACCCAUCACUCCCGAAACCGGGCUCUGGGCAGAGCCGCUGGGCAGGGAAGCAGGGAAGAGGGAGACAGUGGGGCCGGCUGGCAGUGCCAGGACCCCGAAAGUGCUCCCGCUCUCCCCCCAAGCCGCAACCCCCGUCCCAGGACGAGGCGUCAGCGCAGAAGUGAUGGAGAGGUCCCAGGAAAGCAGCGGGGACGGGCAGCGUCGCGGUGCCUCACUGCAGCGCAUCCAAGGCCUCCGUCCCGCCUGCCCCAGGGCCUCCAUCCUGCUGCCCAGGAUUCCUCCUCGCAAAAGCUGCUUCAAAGCUGCCGGUUUUCCUCCCCUCCGCAAUCGCCCGCGGUGGGGAGGGUCUCCGGGGGGCAGCGGACCCCUCGCCCCCCCCUCGCAUUUACACCGCUGCCUUUACACUAAGUCUAAUCCACGUUGCGGAGCCGGAGAGGAGGCAGCGCUGCUCCGCAGCCACGGGCGCAAGUUCCGCUCAACUUGGGUCGGUUUCGCUAAAAAAAAACCCUUCCCCCGCCGGGGGGGCGCUUGGCCGGGUGGCGAUGCCUCCGCGCAGCCCCCAAGAGCCCCCGAGCCAGGCACCCCCCAGCCCCGCGGAGGAGGAAAAAGGGAAGGGGCAGAAAAAAUUAAAAAGGAAAAAAUACAUAUU